rnacentral:rRNA from 1 species
UACGAAGGGGGGCUAGCGUUGCUCGGAAUGACUGGGCGUAAAGGGCGCGUAGGCGGACGGCUUUGUCGGGCGUGAAAUUCCAGGGCUUAACCUUGGGGCUGCGUUCGAGACGGGUUGUCUAGAGUUUGGAAGAGGGGUCGUGGAAUUCCCCAGUGUAGAGGUGAAAAUUCGUAGAUAUUUGGGGAAGAAACACCGGUGGCGAAGGCGGCGACCUGGUCCUUGACUGACGCUGAGGCGCGAAAGCGUGGGGAGCAAACAGG